UGACAAAAACGUAAAAUGUAAAUAAACAAAAGGAGGUGGAAACAACUCAGAUACUGCAGUGAAAGUAAAAUAAUUUAAGUGAAGAUUCCAUUUUAAAUACAAUAGAGCUACUGUGAAGAUAAUUUUCUCAAGCACGGUCAUAUGAUCAUCUUGAUUGACAGAUGGACCUGUCCAGCCCGGCACCAGUAAUUGGAAACAACAGUCUGGAGAAAUGGAAAGUGAUUGGUGCAGGGGGGGUUGGACAAGUCCACAAAGCCAGACAUGUGGACUGAGGAUUGGAUGUGACCAUCAAGUUGCUACAUUAUGAUGAUGGCUCUAGCGCUUCCCUGCAUAAUGAGGCAGAUAUUAUGCGCAAGGGUGCAAGCCUCCAUGUGAUAAGGAUUCUUGGAGUGUACAAGGAUUGUCCCCCCAGUUGCGGCCUUUCAAUCCAGCUGGGUUUUGUGAUGGUUCAUGGAGAGGGGAACACUGGAAUCCCUCCUGGACACCCUCUCUGUCCAUCCACCCUUGCCUCCCGCUUGGCCCACCAGAUCGCUCUGAGCAUGAACUUCCUGCAUUGCCUCAUCCCACCCCUUCUACAUCAAGAUCUGAAGCCCAAUAAUGUGCUGCUGGAUGUCAGCCUUAAUGACAAGGCAAGUUCCAGGCUCCUGGUUCUGACUAGGUUUUAACUGGUUGGAACACGAGCCUGAACUGAGGUUCAAUAGUAUUAUUGCUUGUUGGAGUGUAUUAUUGAGGCAUUAUUAUAAUUAUCAUUAUUGAUAUUUACCACAUAUAGUUAGAUGACAUGAGUUAUAUUGCUAGUAAUUGAAAUGUAUAAACCGAACACAAAC